GUGGGGAAUAUUGGACAAUGGGGGGAACCCUGAUCCAGCCAUGCCGCGUGUGUGAAGAAGGCCUUUUGGUUGUAAAGCACUUUAAGCGAGGAGGAGGCUACCGAGAUUAAUACUCUUGGAUAGUGGACGUUACUCGCAGAAUAAGCACCGGCUAACUCUGUGCCAGCAGCCGCGGAAUACAGAGGGUGCAAGCGUUAAUCGGAUUUACUGGGCGUAAAGCGCGCGUAGGUGGCCAAUUAAGUCAAAUGUGAAAUCCCCGAGCUUAACUUGGGAAUUGCAUUCGAUACUGGUUGGCUAGAGUAUGGGAGAGGAUGGUAGAAUUCCAGGUGUAGCGGUGAAAUGCGUAGAGAUCUGGAGGAAUACCGAUGGCGAAGGCAGCCAUCUGGCCUAAUACUGACACUGAGGUGCGAAAGCAUGGGGAGCAAACAGGAUUAGAUACCCUGGUAGUCC
rnacentral:rRNA from 1 species